rnacentral:piRNA from 1 species
UAGUUUCGGUGUUUGGGACUACGAAUGC